rnacentral:tRNA from 1 species
GGCUUGCCGCAUCUGGUGUGUUCGCGACUGCCGCGCCUGGAAAGCGGGGACGGCACAACCGGGGGAUAGGCGAAAGCCGCGAGGGUGGUUCGAUUCCACCCCAAGCCACCA